GUUAAAAAUCUAUAUUAAGAGCUAAGUUUAUAUUAAAAAGUCAAUUCAUUAAGUAUGUUAUUAAUGUUAAAGAUUAAAAACAUAUUUGUCUAAAAAGCAAUUCAACUGAGAGAGAAAAUAAAUAGGAAGUUUAUUUUGAAGGAGGUGGGUUGGGGAUGUGCUGUCAGCCAAUCAGGAAGAAGCUCGGACUGUUGACCUGCACGGAGCAGAGUUCACUUCCCCUUGAGCUGUUGGAAGAACGGAGAGCAAACCCCACGUCGAACGAUACCUACCUCGUCAAGACAUUCCAAUAGAAGUUGUUAAAACUCAGAAUAAAAACUCUUAAAAACAAUCCAGUGUGGAGCCCUGGACCUGUGAGAGUGCAGCCGGAGAGAAAUGACGUCCCCUCACGAAGAAAACGCAUCGGUCAGGUUUUUUUUGUUGGACCCUUUGAACCUUUGAUCUACCUGGAUGUUGGAGCCUGGAUCGAGACAUUGAUGGCGAGCCACAGCCCAGAGGAGAACU